GGAGGAAAGUAGGGGAUCGCAAGACCUUGCGCUAAAGGAGCGGCCGAUGUCUGAUUAGCUAGUUGGUGGGGUAAAGGCCUACCAAGGCAACGAUCAGUAGCUGGUCUGAGAGGACGAUCAGCCACACUGGGACUGAGACACGGCCCAGACUCCUACGGGAGGCAGCAGUGGGGAAUUUUGGACAAUGGGCGAAAGCCUGAUCCAGCCAUGCCGCGUGAGUGAAGAAGGCCUUCGGGUUGUAAAGCUCUUUUAGUUGGAAAGAAAGAAUUAUAGUUAAUAGCUAUAAUUUAUGACGGUACCAACAGAAAAAGCACCGGCUAACUACGUGCCAGCAGCCGCGGUAAUACGUAGGGUGCGAGCGUUAAUCGGAAUUACUGGGCGUAAAGGGUGCGCAGGCGGCCAUGCAAGUCAGAUGUGAAAGCCCCGGGCUUAACCUGGGAAUUGCGUUUGAAACUACAAAGCUAG
rnacentral:rRNA from 1 species